rnacentral:rRNA from 1 species
GACAGAGGGUGCAAACGUUGUUCGGAAUUACUGGGCGUAAAGCGCGUGUAGGCUGCUUCGAAAGUCGGAUGUGAAAGCCCUGGGCUCAACCUAGGAAGUGCACUCGAAACUUCGAAGCUGGAGUCCUGGAGAGGAAGGCGGAAUUCUCGGUGUAGAGGUGAAAUUCGUAGAUAUCGAGAGGAACACCGGUGGCGAAGGCGGCCUUCUGGACAGUGACUGACGCUGAGACGCGAAAGCGUGGGGAGCAAACAGG